UAGCAAAAACAUCACUGGGAGAACAUAACUCUCAGCAAUGCCUGCCCAGUGUGAUUAAAAAUCAUAAACGGCCGCCCUAGCGUGAGGGUGCUAAGGUAGCGAAAUUCCUUGCCUUUUAAUUGUAGGCCUGCAUGAAUGGCUUAACGAGGGCUUAACUGUCUCUGGUUUACAGGGUCUAAAUUGGAUUAAAGGUGAAGAUACCUUUAUAUAAAAGUCAGACAAGAAGACCCCGUGCAACUUUCAAAAUCGGUUUAUUGAGAAACUUUAAGAUUUUUAGGUGGGGCGCCUACUGAGUAAUACUAACCUCUGUGUAUGGAAAAAACUUUCAAGUAUAGACCCGGCAAUGCCGAUCAUAGGAGAAGUUACGCCGGGGAUAACAGGCUAAUUCACUAGUAGAGAACGUAUUGGCUAGUGGGAUUGGCACCUCGAUGUUGAAUCAGGGAUGAUACCUUUAAGGCGUAGAAGCUUUGAAA
rnacentral:rRNA from 1 species